rnacentral:lncRNA from 1 species
GCAAUUUUGGACUUUAAAUUUGUUUAUUUAUGAGUUGAUAAGCUUGAAAUUGAUUGGGGGGACAAAGAGGAGUGUAUUGUGGACUUGUGGGGCCAAAACAUUAAAUGUAUUGGCUAAGAUUUCUGAUUUUUGUUCCCUCUUAGCUGGCUCCCCUCAUCCGCACGUUGGAAUCUUCUCGGGCAAGCUUGAUUUGCCGACCUCAGCUUCUGCAUCUCUCGGCCCCAAAAACCCCGCAGCUCCUCGCCAACGUUUUCAUCAUUUCAACGCCACGAAAACUCCUGUCCCGUGUCUCCACUUCACGGAACUUCAGUCCACCGCAUCUGCUUGAAGACGCCGAGGCAACACCGAAGCAGCUCCGUGCCACGUUUUCAGUCAACCUUGCUGCCUCUCGGACGACCGGUUGACCUACGCUCAGCCAGCAUGCGACAGCUGCUUCCUUCAAGUGUUGUCCAGCACUGAAGACCGAAGUCCUCUCAGCCUCCACGCGUCCGACUUGCUCCGUGGGUCAAACUCCAGCAACAAGCUUCGGUUUGUUGACCGAAGACCCCACGACACCAACAGAGAAGCCACGGGAACGGAGGCAGUCAGCCACGCCAUCCACCGAAGACUCCACCGAACGCCAUCUUCUCUCCAUCCGCGGCCAGCUGUCCGCGAUUCUGCUUCCCCGGUCAACCGUCGAAGUCCACAGCAAGCACCGAAGCCAUUUUGUUGACUGAAGCUACUCACCGCUUCGUGCGUCCAGCGAAGCCACUGUCCACCGAGCCUCCAGUCCACGUAGCCUUCGGCUGCUCCCUCCGAUUCAACCAAGUCUUCGUCUGCGAGAUCCACCGAGCAUCCUCACGCCGCCAGCACAUCGGUCAAAUCCAACAACUCGCCCCACUGAUUGUUGACCAGAGCAGCUGCCAGCGUCCCGACCUUCAUCCAUUUUCAACGCCAUCAACGGCUUCGAUUGGUCAAGCUGCACGAAGCCUCGUGUGUCUUCCCUCAGCUCCAGCGACGUCCAUCGAAGCAGCAACCCAGCAUCUCCGUGGAUUGAACCCAGCAAUUCGGGCCCAGCAGUCCAGCGAAGACCGAAGCAGCCCACGCAAAUUUCUCUUCGUGGAUUGCAGCCCAACAGCGGCCUUUGUUGCUUCUCUCACCAGGCCAGAUCUGCAGCCCACGUGACCUUCAAUUCAACAAACCAGCCGAAGACAAGCCUUGCAGCAAGCCCAGCCCGUGAGUUUCAAUCCUUUGGGCCACCGAAUUCAGCACAAGACCAGCAAGCCCAGUUCAGCUAGCGCACUUGGUUCAGUCCAAUUCAGCAGGCCCAACCCAACUUGGGUCCAGCCCAAAAGCAAGAACAAAUCUCAUUUGGGCUGAGAUUUGUUGGGCCAAGGUCGAGGCCCGGUCCAAGCCUGUCGGGGUCGUCGAAAGCCCGAUUUCGGCCGCCGUCGCGGUAAUUUGGUUCCCGCUUUUAAUCAAGUGAGUUUUGCUCACUAAUCCCUUAUUAGUCGGUGAAUUAUGCUUAGGGGUUGAUUAGAUUUAAUUAAGUGCAAUUAGGUUGAUAGAUUAGAUUAGAGUAAUUAAAUUAGAGACUUAUAGAUGCAUGUUAGCAAUUGGAUAGUGUAGAUAGCAAGGAAAUAGGUCAUGGUAUUUAUUGAGCAAGUCUCGGUAAUUUUCCGGGUUCAUAUUGGCUUCCAAUUAGGCUAUAACGGGCCUAAGUUGGAUUUAUUGCAUUUAUUUAAUAUUUUCCGUAAUUAUUUAAUUAUUUAUUUAUUUUCCGGAAAUUAGGCUGAGAUAGCCGACGACCGAAAUUUUGUAUUGAUUCCAAUGGUGCUUUCUGUUUAUUUAUUCGAGUAUCAUAUUGUGAAAUUUUAGUGAAAUUGGUGAAUAUGAGAAUUUAUCUCAAAAUUGGGAAAAUGUCGGUACUUGAAGGGAAAGUAACUGUGUGAGGUUGUGAGUUGGAUUAAAGAUUGCCAGGUGGGGCUGUGAUGCCACCGAGUUGAGAAAAUUGCCAGGUGGGGCCGUGAUGCCACCGAGUUGAGAAAAUUGCCAGGUGGGGCCGUGAUGCCACCAAGUCUAGAAAAUUUGCCGAGUGGGGCUGUGAUUCCACUAAAAAUAAACUAUGCCUAUAGGGUCGUGAUUCAGAGUCAAGAAUGAAGAGUCGAGAUGACCAUGUAAUGGUUUUGAUGACAUGUAAUCGACUGAGUCGAUUGAUCGUUAAGUCGAUCUGAUUGGUUGGAUGCUAUGAUUGUUAGUAUUUAUUAUUUGAACUGACUUGCAGGAAGGAAACUGAGGCCAAGGUAAGUCCUCUAACCCAUGAUGUGCUUAGGCAGCCCUCGGGGCGUAUUUUCUUACUAAUCGGGUCUUAGGAGGUAGAACUCGCUAAGACGUGGUCUCAUUGGUUAUUGAAUAACCAUUUCAGGACCCUGAGAAAGAGCCGAGGAGGAGGAACCUGAGGAAGAGAAAGAUUUUUGAAGAAGAAGAUGAUGAUCCAGAGAGGGAUCUUGAGUACAACCCGGAUGUGGAUUGAGAUCCCAUCCCUUUUGUGAACCCUGUCUUAGUGUAAAUAGGUGUGAGACUUGGUUGCUGUAAAUAGUAUUGUAAAGAUACUAUGAGUUGCACUAUUAAUAAAAGUGUAGUUGAGAAUUUCAAUACGAAAAAUAUGGCCUGCUUUUCUAUCCCAUUGUUUUAUUGUCUGGGAAUUCAUAACUGCUUCCGCAUGCGUAAUAAACAGAAAGGGUCGGCGAUACUUAGUCCUGGGAUAUUGCACUUUAAAAUCGACCAGGUAGAAGGAUGGGCGCGUCCCCGAGGAUCGGGGCGUGACAACGUUGGGUUAUUAUGUAUUUAUUGGAGAUAAUUUAGUUG